rnacentral:rRNA from 1 species
UAGUCCACGCCGUAAACGAUGGAUACUAGAUGUCGGGGGCUCUUGCCCUUCCGGUGUCGAAGCUAACGCGUUAAGUAUCCCGCCUGUGGAGUACGGCCGCAAGGCUAAAACAUAAAGAAAUUGACGGGGCCCGCACAAGCGGUGGAGUAUGUGGUUUAAUUCGAUGCAACGCGAAGAACCUUACCUGGAUUUGACAUCCCGUGCUACCCCUGGAAACAGGGGGUUCUCUUCGGAGACGCGGUGACAGGUGCUGCAUGGCUGUCGUCAGCUCGUGUCGUGAGAUGUUGGGUUAAGUCCCGCAACGAGCGCAACCCUUGUCUUUAGUUGCCAUCAUUAAGUUGGGCACUUUAAAGAGACUGCCGGUGACUAAACCGGAGGAAGGUAAGGAUGACGUCAAGUCAGCAUGCCCCUUAUGCUCUGGGGCUACACACGUGCUACAAUGGCCGUGACAAAGAGUUGCUACUUUGUGAAAACAAGCU